GAUGAAGGCCCGCGAGGGUUGUAAAGCUCUUUUGGCAAAUGAAAUAAUGAUAUGGUUUGCAGAAAAAAAGUACCGGCUAACUCUGUGCCAGCAGCCGCGGUAAUACAGAGGGUGCAAGCGUUGUUCGGAAUUAUUGGGCGUAAAGCGUAUAUAGGCGGUAAUGUAAGUUUGAUGUAAAAGUUUGGAGCUCAACUCCAAAAGGUCAUUGAAUACUGCAUUGCUAGAGGUCGGGAGAGGUAAAUGGAAUUCCUAGUGGAUAGGUAAAAUUUGAAGAUAUUAGGAGGAAUUUUAGAGAUGAAAGUGGUUUACUAGAACGAAUCUGACGCUGUAAUACGAAAGCGUGGGGAGUAGAUGGGAUUAGAUAUCCCGGUAGUCCACGCCCUAAACGAUGACAGUUAUAUGUUGGACUAAUUAUAGUUCAGUGUUGAAGCUAACGCCUUAAACUGUCCGCCUGAGGAGUAUGGUCGUAAGAUUAAAACUCAAAGGAAUUGACGGGACCGUAUAAGCGUGGAACAUGUGGUUUAAUUGUAAG
rnacentral:rRNA from 1 species